rnacentral:rRNA from 1 species
GACGAACGCUGGCGGCGUGCCUAAUACGUGCAAGUCGAGCGGACAGAAGGGAGCUUGCUCCCGGAAGUUAGCGGCGGACGGGUGAGUAACACGUGGGCAACCUACCCUGUAGAUCGGGAUAACAUCGAGAAAUCGGUGCUAAUACCGGAUAAUCAUUGAAGUGCAUGCUUCGAAUGUAAAAGAUGGCUCCGGCUAUCACUACGGGAUGGGCCCGCGGCGCAUUAGCUAGUUGGUAAGGUAAUGGCUUACCAAGGCAACGAUGCGUAGCCGACCUGAGAGGGUGAUCGGCCACACUGGGACUGAGACACGGCCCAGACUCCUACGGGAGGCAGCAGUAGGGAAUCUUCCGCAAUGGACGAAAGUCUGACGGAGCAACGCCGCGUGAGUGAUGAAGGUUUUCGGAUCGUAAAGCUCUGUUGUUAGGGAAGAACAAGUGCCGUUUGAAUAAGGCGGCACCUUGACGGUACCUAACCAGAAAGCCACGGCUAACUACGUGCCAGCCGCCGCGGUAAUAC